UCUUAUUUAAUACAAACCUGCACACUUCUUGUGUCUUUCUGACUUAGGAAGGCAGGAUGGGAUGCAACUCCAGCACCACGGCACAAGACAAACCACAUUUAAACUCCAAAUCAGAAUGUCCUGAAUCUGAUGGAGUCAAUAGUGUAACCACUGCAGAGAAUGAUCUGAAUCACGAUGCUACAAAACCAGAACCAGCACCAGACGAAAACCAAGAAUCUGAAGCUCCAGCAGCAGACGAGGCAGAUCACGUGAAACAAGAGGAAUAACCAGGUGCAAGCGAGUAACACUGAGGCUCACAGACAGCGUAGGAAAUGUGGGGAAGUCUGAUCAUGAACAUCUUCCACAAUGUUUUAUUUCUUUCUGAAUAACAGUUUGCUAAUGAUUUCAUCUAUGCCUCAAAUUCCUGUUAUCACACGUUAUAGCAUCUAUAAGCAUCUUAUAAACACCACCUUCUUCAUUCUCUCUCUUGAUGUGAAUUAUACCAUAACGCAGCUUGUCAUGUCACCAAGAAUCCAGAAGGUCCAUUGACCUAAAGACUUUCCCACUGAUGGAAAACUGUUCCAAAGACUCCUUACUGAAACUGGAGACUUCUUAAACAAAUGUUUAAUAAAUAUCUCCCUAUAAUAACGCUUUA